AAUUUGCCUCUGAUGGGUCGUUUUUAAAAUUAACAUAUGCCUGUUUAGAGUUAUCUACUGCAAGAGUACAUUUUUGAUUCCACCAAGGUAAAUGGUAGCUACCUAAGGGAUCAUUAUGUACUAUCCAAUGUGAAGCAAGAGAUAUGCAAGGGGAUGCAAUAGUAAGGUCAAGCGCAUUACUCUGCCAUCUGUGUGAUCCUACUGUAGUCGGUGUACCAUCAUUUAAGAGGACCAAGUUGUUACCAUCAA